GAACGGGGCCACUGCCCAUAGAGGGUGCCAGGCCCGUAGCGACCGUCGCCGAUCCAGGGAGGAUCUCUCCUCAGAGUCGGGUUGCUUGAGAGUGCAGCCCUAAGUGGGUGGUAAACUCCAUCUAAGGCUAAAUAUGACCACGAGACCGAUAGCGAACAAGUACCGUGAGGGAAAGUUGAAAAGCACUUUGAAGAGAGAGUUCAAGAGUACGUGAAACCGUUCAGGGGUAAACCUGAGAAACCCGAAAGGUCGAAAGGGGAAAUUCAUUCGCGUCUCGUGCGGCGGCGGCGUGGCGGUACGGUGAGACUGGAAGGCGCUUCGGUGCUGUACCAGUUCCCUCCGCUCGUCGAACCGUCGUCGAACGCGUGCACUUUUCCCCUAGUAGGACGUCGCGAUCCGUUGGGCGUCGGUCUACGGCCCGUGCGGGAGCCCGAUCGGAGGGCGGUGUCAAAGCCGUUCUCCCGAGCGGACCCAUGGUGACCUGGCCGGCUCGCUCGACGGUAUACAGAUAAAGGUGCGGGGCCGCCACGCUCGUCAGAGCUGGCAUCCGGCCCGCGGCAAGCGCGCCCGUUGGCGUCGGCGAUCGGACCUAGUGCCGAUCCCGGCCCCGGGCGACUGUUGGCCGUGUGUGUUCUCGGACAGACCCCGUUGAAACACCGAUCUGCGACGCUAUAGCUUUGGGUACUUUCAGGACCCGUCUUGAAACACGGACCAAGGAGUCUAGCAUGUGCGCGAGUCAUUGGGACUUUGAUAAACCUAAAGGCGCAAUG
rnacentral:rRNA from 1 species